rnacentral:sRNA from 1 species
AAGUCUGACGAGGAUGAGAACCUCCGGGGGCAAGAGGUUCGACCCGAGCGAAGCGAGAGAACGUUGCGUCAGCAACGGCCCGCAGGGCGAGCCACGCAGUGGCGAGUCAUCCUCUAUCACCGACCA